CGAACUAUGAAAAUCAGUUGUAAAAGGCUUAACUCAUCAGAUGGGUACAAAUAUAAAUACAUCUAACAAAAAAAUAGAGUGGACGUGGGCGGGUACUUGUAUAUCCCAACAACAAAAAGACACUAUAAGUACUGAUCUGAGAGUACUCGCAGUUACUGACAGCUAGUUCAAAGCCACUAACAACUAAUAAAAAAAAACAUGCAUCUUAGACCCUGUUCACACUAGCAUUUUUUUUAUCGAUCUAAUUUGAAUCGAUCUAAAUAAAACCAGUUAGCGUUCACAUUAUCUUUAAUCAUAUCGAUCUCUAUCGGUCUAAUAUGAACCACUGCGUUCACACUACAAUUAAAAACGCAAUCGAUCUAACCUUUUUGCCCGUAAAACUGUAAACACUGUGUAUAAAUAGAACUGAUUUAUCAAAUUCAUGUGCUGAUACACUGAUACACACGCUUGGGAAAAAAAUUGGAUAAAGUUAUUGUUUCUCUUGAAUCACAAUUUAAAAUUUUGAUACUGGUGUUAUUGCAGUUUUCUUUAAUUUUGAAAAAAAUAACUGUAGCAACAAAGUUACAACACGACGCCGAAAAUACUGCGGUUCCUGCAAAGAAAAAAAAAUCAACAUAAGAAAAGAAGACACAGAUUUCGCAAAUCUAUGCUAUGGCGAAGACAACAUGUUUACAGUUUGUUUUAAAGGUCUUUUAACAGAGAAAUAUGGGUUAAACAACG
rnacentral:lncRNA from 1 species